UCCUACGGGWGGCAGCAGUGGGGAAUAUUGCACAAUGGGCGCAAGCCUGAUGCAGCCAUGCCGCGUGUAUGAAGAAGGCCUUCGGGUUGUAAAGUACUUUCAGCGGGGAGGAAGGYGUUGAGGUUAAUAACCUCAGCRAUUGACGUUACCCGCAGAAGAAGCACCGGCUAACUCCGUGCCAGCAGCCGCGGUAAUACGGAGGGUGCAAGCGUUAAUCGGAAUUACUGGGCGUAAAGCGCACGCAGGCGGUCUGUCAAGUCGGAUGUGAAAUCCCCGGGCUCMACCUGGGAACUGCAUUCGAAACUGGCAGGCUAGAGUCUUGUAGAGGGGGGUAGAAUUCCAGGUGUAGCGGUGAAAUGMGUAGAGAUSUGGAGGAAUACCGGUGGCGAAGGCGGCCCCCUGGACAAA
rnacentral:rRNA from 1 species